rnacentral:lncRNA from 7 species
GAAAAAAAAAUUCUCCUGUUGUUCAAACGGGUGAUGUUUUUGCUGUGGGAUUACAAAGCAGCUCAUUCUCAGCAUUGGCUAAUAGCAUUACACAAAUCUCAAAAAGGAACAAAAGAAAUACCAUAGCACUUUUUUCUUUCUUCUUUCUUUCUUUUUUUUUCUUUUUUAUUUUACUUUUUCAUUUCUUAUAAUUUUUUUCCUCAUGAGAAUCUCUCUGCUCUUCCCCACAUCCGUCAUGAUGAAAUAAAAGACACGAAAAAUUCUCUGUUGUUCUGGUUUACGAAGUCUCUCUUCUCUCCUCUGUCUGAUCACAAACUUUAUAAUUUGGAGAGGGGAAAAAAAUAAAAAUAAAAUAAAAAAAAACAAUAACAAAAACCAAACCCAAGGAGGAGAGAGAAGCACUGGCAAGUGCUCUCUGGAAUUCAAGCCAUAUGCCCAUGUCCCUUUCCUUUGUCCCGUUUUCUGUGAUGCUCAGGAAUCGAAGACCACUUAAAAGUGCUCUUAUGAGACCCAAUGGACACUCCUUCCUCGUGUCUCCUGUCCCCUGGUCCCUCUGGCACACUGGCUCUGACUCACACACACACAGCCCCAAGCACGGGGCAUGGCGCUGGGUGCUCUGCAGUUUGCAGCCAUGACCUUGGCUGCUGUGUUUGGAAGAGUUUUGGAAUUUUUGGGUGGCUCAAGAGUUGGCCUGGUUGAUAUUGCUAGAACUACUUUUUCUUUCUUUUUAAGGUAGGCAGUUGUUUUUUUUAAAAAAAAAAAAAACUUUUCCAUGGAAGGCAUAGAGGUGAUGAGUCUGGCAUAGACCCUUCUAGGUUGGAAAAAACCUUUGAGAUCAUCAAGCCCAACCAUCAGCCUGACCUGUUGAGUCCCGUCACCAAGCCAUGUCCCUUAGUGAUUCCCAAAUAAGCUCCAAUGUUGUCCUAUAGGGCUUGUUCUCAGAGGUUCACGCAAACACCUUCCUUGCAGCCUUAGGUUUAAUCCAAAACCACAGAGGCCUGUAGAGGACAGGGGAGCGGAACCUGAUGGUCAGGCUGUGUCCUGGGUCUUUUACACCUCUAGAUUUCGUGAUCCUGGUUCUGGUUAUGUUGAUGCCAGUGGAUUAAGUUAAGUCUGGACUUGCAUGAAUGAUAAAUCAGUUGGUCUCUGGGAUUUUUUCAUUGUUGUUGUUGUGGAUGUUUUAAUUUUUUUUUCCCCCAAACUUGAUGAUUUUAGGAAAGAAAUUAAAGAUCUGUGAGGGGCUCUUCUCCC